AAAUAAUUUUGCCUUGACUUGAACAUUAACAAAUGUCAGACCCUCCAGAAGUGGUUUGAAAGUGUUUACUAUGGUGUUGGCACAAACUUUGACACAAAGGAGAACAGACUGCUUGGAAAGGACAUCCCAUUUCUCCAGUGGAAAACUGCAUGUCAGUUUAAAAGGUUAUUUAAAAGAUAUUACUUUCCUGAAUUAUGUCUGUGAUGGAUAAACUGACAUUGAGCAACGAGUGGGUGACUGACAGUAUUUGAUGAUGAGUUUAGACAAGCAGUCAGUACAAUUCAGAAGUACCGUCUCCCUUCUGAAUGUCACACCUCAGUGGAAAAUCUACAAGAUGGAAAUAUCACUGAUACAACUAGAUCUGAUCAUAGGAAAUAUGGUAAAAAUGUUACUCAAAUCUUGAAUGGACUGCAAUCCAAGAAAACAUCCUAACAUAAAGUUAAGAAAAGCACACACUAUCUUCUUUUAUGAUAAUGUACAAAUGUAAGCUCUUUUAUCCAUGAGAAUUUCAAUAUCUUACCUACAGUUAAACAAAUCACAUAUUCACCAGUCUAGGUAUAGCUGUAAGUACUAAGUUACCACCUAAGCAAGUAGGUAAUAAAUGUUAAAAUGGACUUACACAGCAGCCAUUUUGUCCACUGCACAAGUAUAGCCACACCUAGGAUAAAAAAGGACAGCUAACUUUAUAGAAUAGAGUAGUCCCACAAACAGCACUGGCACAGAAGGAGCAAAUGAUAUUAUUAAUUUAAAUUCCUGCUACUGUGGGGAAACUGUAGAUAUUUAGAAAUUUGAAGGGACCAGUGCACCAAAGUUAGUUGUAAUAAAAAAUACUUCCAAAGGAAUUAAUUAUAGAUAUCAUCCAAAGGACAAAUACAGACUUCAUGUACGUUCAGAAAAGAAAAGAAAAUCACUAAUCCUCUUUGAACUGUACUAUUAAAUCCUUUGAGCUUUAGUAAUAAAAAUGCAUGGUCAUAAAUGCAUAUACAUGCAA